rnacentral:lncRNA from 1 species
CCAGUUUUGAGAACAAUUAACAUUAUUCUGUAAUUUACAACAAUAUGAGGGCUGAUGUUGCAUGUUAUUGUACAUACCCUUCUCCUCAUACAGAACCAGGAAUGUCACUUUCCUAACUCAGGCAGGCACUGUUACUGGUGGGUACUGCACACUCGCUCGCUCACUCACACACACAAAAUCCUAGAGACAAUUUCAAAAAGCAUUAUUUUGCUUUGUUUUUUGGGACAGGGGAGGAGAGAAUCUACAGAUUUUCAUUUAUUUAAAAAUCAAAAACAGCUCGGCACAGGAAAUAGGCAGUUCACAUAGCCAGCCAACAUCUGAGGUAUCAUCAGUGUGAGACAA